AGUAAGUAAUCUUUCAUUUUUUAUUUUUCUCUUAAGUCCCACCCCUGGCCAUGCACCUGAACGAAUCGUGUCUGUGAGCUUACAGCGUCGACCAAUAGUGCUUCUUUAAUGCCAGAGUGAGCUGUCAGUCAACAAGAGCGAGCCCCAGACACCAGCGUGCACAAGCGUGUCACGCGCAUCAGUCGCCACAACAGAAAUACUGUCAUAACUUCCUCGACUAGCUUACCCUCUGAAACAAAGUUUAAAAGUGCUCAUUUAAAAUUCCCCGUGAGAAACUGGUGACACCAGAGUAGGACUUAUGCUGGAGACACUUUUAAAAGAAGGAAGCUUUGUGCUCUACGAGGCCUCAAAACUAAUGAAGUGUCGGCCAAGCAGCUUUGGGACAGCUAAAUACUAAGUAAUCGAUUGUUUUGUAGAGAACUUUAACUGAUUAUUUUUUAUUAAAAUGAAAGAUUUGCUGCGUCAGCUAAUAUUGCACUAGCUUGAAGGCUGACAAAGCACCAAAGUCUGUCAAAUAAAAGACAACUGUGGAAGUGGAGCGUUGGCUCAUUGGCCCCGUAUGAGAAGAAAAAAUCAGUCAUUUGGGGAUAAAACUUAACUCAGUAUGCUUGUGAGGUCCUGCUUUUGUCAUAUGAAACAGCUCUCCAGCAUUAAGCCUUUGAGUGUGUGCUGCAUGCUGUUGUCCUGUCCCAACUGGACUGCUGUACUGGGGAAUACUGUACUCAUAAGUUCAUUAAUCAUAUGGUUGAAUGAACAAGAUGUUUAAAUGAAAUGUUUGAAUCACCUGUGCUUAAAUCAAUGAAGUUGAAAUGAAUAUUGCUCUUACAAUGAUCCAUUUACAGGUCCUUCUCAAAAAAUUAGCAUAUUGUGAUAAAGUUCAUUAUUGUCUGUAAUGUACUGAUAAACAUUAGACUUUCAUAUAUAUUAGAUUCAUUACACACAACUGAAGUAGUUCAAGCCUUUUAUUGUUUCUAAUAUUGAUGAUUUUGGCGUACAGCUCAUGAAAACCCAAAAUUCCCAUCUAAAAAAAUUAGCAUAUCAUGAAAAGGUUCUCUAAACGAGCUAUUAACCUAAUCAUCUGGAUCAACUAAUUAACUCUAAACACUUGCAAAAGAUUCCUGAGGCUUCUAAAAACUCCCAGCCUGGUUCAUUACUCAAAACUGCAAUCAUGGGUAAGACUGCCAACCUGACUGCUGUCCAGAAGGCCAUCAUUGACACCCUCAAGCAAGAGGCUAAGACACAGAAAGAUAUUCCUGAAUGAAUAGGCUGUUCCCAGAGUGCUGUAUCAAGGCACCUCGGUGGGAAGUCUGUGGGAAGGAAAAAGUGUGGCAGAAAACGCUGCACAACCAGAAGAGGGGACCAGACCCCGAGGAAGAUUGUGGAGAAGGACCGAUUCCAGACCUUGGGGGACCUGCGGAAGCAGUGGACUGAGUCUGGAGUAGAAACAUCCAGAGCCACCGUGUACAUGAGAAGUUGUGAGAAUGUGAGAAGUUUAAUGAGAAUGAGAAAUUAAAAUCAAUAGUACAAUAUAAUAUAACAAAGAAACAUUUGCAGGUUUACAAGCAAACACACAACUUACACAAUACUAAGAAUGGGUGCAGGCAGAAGCAGAAGCUUAUAAGCCCAGCCCCCCAAACCCUUUGAACUUAAACAAAAUUUUAGAAUAGCAAACCGAUUCCAUAAUUUUUACAUCAUGUUUGAAAUGUAUGGGAAUAUAUUCAAAUCCCCAUUCUAGCUUUAUGAAAAAAAAAUGACCUUUAAUGUUUUAUGCAUUUUUUCAUUGACUUGAUUCAUAAUAUUUAAUCACAUUUGAUUUAAACAAACCCUUAAACUUUACCAUUGUUGAACAAUCUUUUUGCUCCUGGUCUAAUUUAUUCCACACAUCAAUCCCAACACAAGAAACACAAAGUUGUUUCAUUUUAGUUCUUACUUUAGGCUUUCUGAACAUGUUAUACCCUCUGAGAUCAUAAACACUCUCUCUGAUCUGGAACAGAUCCUGAAUACUUUAUACAUAAAUUGUGCAGUUCUUAAUGUAACUAAUUCUUUUAACUUUAACGCUUUUAAACGAGUAAAAAGUAAAUGUGUAUGCUCUCUACAAGCUGCUUUAUUUACAAGUGGGAUUACUCUCUUCUGAAUUAUAAACAAAGGCUUUAAGUGGGUUUCGUAGGUGUUUCCCCACACUUGAACACAAUACAUGAAAUAAGGCAGAAAUAAGGAACAAUACAAAAGAUAUAAAGCUUUUUCAUCUAAAAAUUCUUUAACUUUAUAGAGAACUGCCAAUGAUUUCGAUAACUUUGCUUUAAUUGAGUCAAUAUGCGGUUUCCAACUUAACUUUUUCUAUGGUUAUGCCAAGAAAUUUUAUUUCAUUCGCUCUUUCAAUUUCUGUAUUAAUUAUUUUGAGAUGUGUAUCCACUGUAAUUGCUCUAUUAGUAAAUAUGAUAAAUUUUGUUUUAUUUAAAUUUAAAGUUAAUUUAUUUAAGUUAAACCAACACUUUAAUGCAUUUAAUUCUUUCUCAACCUUGUCCAUUAAUGUUAUUCAAUCUUUCCCAAAACUUAGAACAUUAGUAUCAUCUGCAAAUAGUAUGAAAUGCAAUGUUUUAGAAACUAAACAUAUGUCAUUAAUAUAAAGAAUAAACAACAAGGGACCCAACACUGACCCCUGUGGGAUACCGCUGGUCACUGUCAGUAGCUGUGAAUCAGUGUUGUUAAUGUGGACAUAUUGGAGUCUGUUCUCUAAAUAACUCUUAAUCCAGUCAUAGGCCACACCCCUGAUGCCAUAUCUACACAAUUUUUUUAUUAAUAAGUCAUGAUUAACAGUAUCAAAAGCUUUGGUCAGGUCUAAGAAGACCCCAACAGCAUAUUGUUUGUUGUCAAAUGCAUCAGAUAUUUUCUCCACUAGAUCAACAAUUGCCAGAGAAGUUGUCCGAUCACGUCUAAAACCAUAUUACUGUUCAGAAAGAAUAUCAUGAUGCUCAAUAAAGUCAUACAAUCUUUUAUGAAAUAUUGUUUCUAGUAUUUUGGAGAACUGAGAUAAAAUAGAAAUUGGUCUAUAAUUAGAAAAGUCAUGUUUGCCUCCAGCCUUAUAGAUAGGAAUGACUUUUGCAACCUUCAUCCUUUCAGGAAAUCUUCCUGAUUGGAGAGACUGGUUACAAAUAUGUGUAAGUGGUUUGGCUAUAAUCUCGAUGAUUUCUUUUACAACCGACAUAUCAAAUCCAUGUAAAUCUGCUGACUUUUUACUUUUAAAUGUUUUAACAACUGUUAUAACUUCAUUUUCAUUUGUGCCUUGAAUAAAUAUGGUUUUGUCUAAAUUUGUUAUUUUACUCACAGCAUCAGCAUCUAAUUUAGUAUUUGAUAUAUCCUUUGCCAAAUUUGGCCCAAUUUCGGUGAAAUACUUAUUGAAUUCAUUUGCUAUUUCUUUAGACUGAUACAUUUCUUGAUUGUCUUUUGUUAGAAAAAUAUUUGGAAGACUAUUGGUGCCACUGCCCUUUUUUAUUACAUCAUUUAAUAUGCGCCACGUAUUUUUAAUGUUAGAUUUAUUUCCUUCCAAUAAUUUGCUAUAAUAAUUUCUUUUACUAGAUCUCAUAAUACUUAUUAAUUUAUUCUUGUAUAUCUUGUAAUUCUGUUCUGCUUCCUCCGUUCUUUUCUUUAAAAAGUCUUUUUAACUGCCACAAUGUAAAUUAUGUCAAUUUGUUUGAUUUAUUGUGUUAUGUAUGUAUCUUAUUUCCCUGGUCUAUUGUUGUUUCUUUGGGGUAGGAACUAAGUUUCAUGCUGUGUUGCGCACGGCCCAUUUUGGGUGACAGAAAGGGAAGUAAAAGAGCAUGUGAAAAGAAGCUGAGCUAUAACCUACGCAGUCACAGGAAUGAAUAAAUAAGCAGUUUAAAGUAAGGGAAAGCUGUAGAGAAGACGAAGAAGAAACCAGCGAAUUACCUUUGUUAAGUUUUGUUCCUGAAGCGGAUUCACUCCCUUAUGGUUACGUGCAGCCAGCGAGGUACGUUAACUGUGUUUAUUUAUUGAGUAUCUGUGAACUUGGGUUAAUGCUUAUUUGUAAUAUUUAUGUUUGGUUAUUCUGUACUUUGGUGUAAUGACAGUUUGACGGUGGAUUAAUAGUGUCUUGGAGGAGAAGUGUGAAGGAGGAAUAAAUCCAUCAGUGAAUGAAGAACCGUGGUGUCGUCUAUUAACCGGAGGGAGCGAAAGUCAAACUCGAGGCCCAAACAUGCCCUAUCAGCGCAAGUUCGGCAGCUCAUCAAGACGGGAACACAGAUAAGCCACUGUUUAGGCCACACAGGUUCAUAAGGUUUUCAUGAAGAAGUCUAUAAGUCAGACUCUAAAGUUUUGGUCAGAAAAGUGACACAAGAGUUGAAAACUAAGAGGGACUGUGUAUAACCUGGCAGCCACGGUGUUUCACGUAUAUGAAUGUGCACUUAAGUAAGAGAUGUAAGUUCAUGUUCAGUUGAAUAAUAAUAGUUGGCUCUUAAGGAGCAGAAGUACACCUUGUACAUUUGGUAAACAUCCACAGCUUGUAUUUACGGUUCAGUGUCUUUACAAGUUCGGUGUGUGACAGGUUAUAAGAAGAACUCUGUUAAGUGCACUUACUCUGUAAUAUUCUACAUGGAGAGUGACUUUAGUUAGUUAAGCCCCUUAUUUAGCAUUGACAAAUAGUGUUGCAGCUUGCUCUUGUAUGUUGCCUGUGUACAAAUAAUCAAAAUGUCACAUACAAGUAAAGAAGCUCAGGGUGCAGCAGCUGCUCUGGAAGAAGAGACCGAGUUAGAGCAGACAGAUGAAUCAAAUAUCGGGCAAAAUAUAGCACCACCUGAAGUGCCUCCUAGAAGUGAAAGAGCCCGGACAUUAACAGAAAAGGGAAAGGAGUUACAGAAAAAGCAAAUCAAGGGGCUAGUGCUUCGCUUUGACAGCAAAUAUGAGCGAUGGAAAGCUCUAAUUAAAGUAGCUAAAAGAUCUGUGUUAAAACAGGAUCCUAGUGACAUCCUACAAGAACACAUCAUCGGUAUUCAAAGGGAAUUAUCUGAAUUGAACAUUGCUUAUGAUGACUACCGAAAAAUUGAUCAACCAUCCCAUGACAUGCGUCGCAAGAUGGAUAACUGCAUCUCGAUCACCAAGACUGUAUUACAAAAUGCUUAAUUUGAAAUACAGGGUACAGCUGAGGAGUUGAUUUGGCCAGAUCACAGUUCUGUAUUCGCAUCUUCAACUUCCAGUGUUUCACUUUCUGCCUCUAAUGGUUCUAAAGCAUCUUCUAUUCACUCAAAUGUAUCUUCACUUAGAAGACAAGAAGCUGCUGCCGAGUAUGCAGCUACACGGGCUGUACUGCAGAUUAUGACUGAACAAGAGGACCACCAAGAGAAGCUGCAAAAGCUUGAAGCUGAAGAGAGGUUGAACAUCGCAGACCAAGAAGCAGCCGCAUUAGCUCGUCGUCUUGAAGGAGAAAGAGAAGAAAACGAACGCAGGCUAGAAAGAGAGAAACAAGAGGCCGCUCUCUUAAAGAAACAGCAAGAAGAGAAUGCUGCAAGAAAGAGGUCUGUUGAGAACCUAAAGAGAGAGCUUGAUCGUUUAGAAAAUUUGAAAAGGAUGAAUGCAGCCAAAGCAAGGCUUCAAGUGUAUGAUGAGAAUGAGCUCAGCCCAGCACAAAGGAAUGCUCCACAGAGCCUAGAUCUACAUGAGGUUAUGCAGCCACGCAACCAAAUGAAAUCUGACAACUGGCACUCACAAUCACCAAAGGAUGCAGUGCCAACACAUGUGGUUCAAGACAGCACAGGAGAGCUUGUGAAAGUCUUAGCUGAGGCUAUAUCAGCAAAUAGGCUACCCAUUCCAGAGCCCACAGUUUUUAAUGGUGAUCCACUCAAGUUUAAUCAUUGGAAAUCAUCCUUCCAAACUCUUAUUGAAAGGAAAAAUAUUUCAAGUUCAGAGAAAAUAUUCUUUCUUCAGAAAUAUGUUGGAGGAGCAGCUAGAGAGGCAUUAGAAGGUUAUUUCCUGAUUGGUUCAGAUACUGCAUAUGUAGCUGCAUGGGGACUGCUCAAUGAGAGAUACGGCCAGCCUUUUAUGAUUGCAAAGGCCUGCCGAGACAAAUUACAUGCCUGGCCAAAAAUAGCGUCAAGAGAGAGCGCUGACUUAAGGAAAUUUGUGGAUUUUUUACGCAGUUGUGAAUGUGCCAUGACUCACAAUGAGUGUCUGCGUAUUCUUGAUGAUGACGUCGAAAAUCAAAGGCUGACAGCCAAGUUGCCUGAUUGGUUAAGCAGCAGAUGGAACCGAAAAGCCACACAGUAUCAGCUGGAGCAUGGGAGGUUCCCAGAUUUCAAGUAUUUCGUAACCUUCCUGACCUUGGAGGCUAGUAUUGCUUGUAACCCUGUUACAUCUUACUAUGCUUUGCGGCAAGGGGAGCAGGAAAGGACAAGAUCUAAACCGCAGAAUGUAGUGACCCCUAAGAGCCAAGCAGCAAGUGCAAGGAUUUUUACCACUAACACCACUGAGGAGAACAUAAGCACAUGUAUGUUCUGUAAGAAAACAGGACAUGUCCUGCACAAGUGUCGUAGACUAACUGCAAGGCCAGUUGCUGACCGAGUGAAGUUCAUUCAAGGUGAGAAACUGUGUUUCGGCUGUUUGAGUCCUGGCCAUCAAUCCAAGAAUUGCAGCAACCGGAUGGUCUGUGACACCUGCUCUAAGCGUCACCCCACAUGCUUACAUGAGGAUCGCUCAAAACAACAAGAAAAUGAUGGGACGAGUUGCAUUAAGGAAAGAACGCUACAAUCGCUGCAAGACACCAUUCAAGAAACCACAUCCAAUAGAGUUGUACAUGAUGGUAACAGUGCUCAGACUUCAGCAAUAGUUCCUGUUUACGCGUCAAUGCCUGGUAAUUCAAAUAAAGAGGUCCUUGUCUAUGCUCUGUUAGAUUCACAAAGUGACUCUUCAUUCAUUCUUGAAGAAGUAGUGGAUGCUCUUGAUGUUAAUGCAGAGCCAGUCAAGUUGAAGCUGUCCACAAUGUCGUCCAAGGAAACAAUUGUACCAUGCAAAAGAAUCAAAGGUUUACAAAUAAGAGGGUUAUCUUCUUCUAAGAAGAUCACAGUGCCAACGGUCUACACUCGUGAAUUCAUACCUGCCAAUCGCACACACAUUCCAACAUCUGAGACAGCAAGGGCAUGGCCUCAUUUAGAGCAUCUUGCAGAACACAUUGCCCCACCGAAGAACUGUGAAAUCGGUCUUCUUAUUGGGUAUAACUGUCCACAAGCACUGAUGCCAAGAGAAGUUGUAUGUGGUGAGGACAACCAGCCCUUUGCACAGAAAACUGACGUAGGCUGGAGCAUAGUAAGCUAUGGUGAUCCAAGUGAAAACUACAGUGAUGCGAUUGGAGUAAGUCACCGCAUCAUUGUAAGGCAAGUGAUUCCUGAACCCAAAGUAACAAGUAAUCUGAAGAGCAACGUUCAUUAUGUCUUCAAAACAAGAAUUAAAGAACUGACUGCUCCAGAAGAUGUACUUAAGGUGCUGGAAUCGGACUUCAGUGAAAGACUUGGAGAAGAGGCAAAUCUUUCGCAAGAAGAUCUCCAGUUUUUGACCAAAAUGAAAGAAGAAAUUAGACACAAAGAAGAUGGACAUCUUGAAAUGCCUCUGCCUUUCAAACAGAGCAGGCCAGAGUUACCAAAUAACAAACCAUGUGCUGUCCAACGCCUUAAGUGCUUGGAGAAGAGGCUCAAGAGAGACCAGAAAUAUCAAGCAGAUUACAUGAACUUCAUGAAGGACAUUAUCAGUCGUGGUGAAGCAGAAAGGAUCCCAGAAGAGGAGCUUGAUAGACAGUCAGCUUGGUAUAUUCCUCACCAUGGCGUAUACCACCCUAAAAAACCAGAGAAACUGCGAGUGGUCUUUGAUUGCUCGGCAAGAUUUCAAGACAUGUCAUUGAAUGACUACUUUCUUACAGGUCCUGAGCUCACAAACACCUUGGUGGGAGUUCUUUGUAGAUUUCGAAAGGGCCCAGUCGCUAUUAUGUGUGAUGUGGAAAGAAUGUUCCAUCAAUUCCAUGUAAAGCCUGAAGACCAAGACUACUUGAGGUUCUUAUGGUGGGAGAAUGAUAAUCUCGAGGCUCCACCAUCAGUUUUUCGGAUGAAAGUCCAUUUGUUUGGAGCAGCUUCUUCACCUGGCUGUGCCAAUUUUGGACUUAAACAUCUAGCCACAGAAGGUCAGGAUCGAUUUAACGAAAGCACUGUCAGGUUCAUCCGAAGAAAUUUUUAUGUUGAUGAUGGACUGGUGAGUGUAGGGUCUGAUGCGGAGGCAAUUGAACUGAUCAAGGAAGCUAGAGAGCUUUGCAGUGCAGGCAAGCUUAGACUGCACAAGUUCAUUUCCAACAGCAAGAAGGUAUUGGACCCAAUACCAAGGGAAGAAUGUGCUGACAGUGUCAAAGAGCUGGACAUAGAUUUAGGGGAGCCACUCCUAGAAAGAGCACUGGGCGUGCAAUGGUGCGUAUCCUCUGAUGACUUGCAGUUCAGAGUAACUGUCAAGAAACACCCGAUGACGAGAAGGGGAGUGCUAUCCACAGUAGCUUCCAUCUACGAUCCUCUGGGUUUUGUAGCACCGUUUGUUUUGCGUGGUAAGUUGAUCUUGCAACAGUUGAGUCGAGAGAAAGUUAGUUGGGAUGAACCACUUUCAGAGGAGUGCAGAUCACAGUGGCAGUCAUGGUUACAAGAUCUCCAUAACUUGUGUCAAGUAAAAAUUAAGAGGUGCUACAUACCAGCAAGCUUCAUAGAUGUCAAGCAGUACGAGCUACAUCACUUCUCAGAUGCUAGCUUCACAGGUUAUGGGGAGUGCACUUAUCUAAGAGCAGUGAACUCUAAUGGCAGUGUACACUGCUCACUUGUCAUGGGGAAAGCGCGUGUUGCCCCCACUAAGGUCACAACGAUUCCAAGGCUUGAGCUGUCUGCAGCAGUGGUUGCUGCGAAGAUAGGUGCUAUGUUAAACCAUGAGCUUGAAAUAGACAACCUUAAGGAAUAUUAUUGGACAGAUUCUAAGGUUGUUCUCGGGUAUAUUAAGAAUGAUGCCAGACGCUUCCAUGUUUUCGUGGCAAAUAGGAUCCAGAGAAUCAAAGCCACCACAGAUGUCAACCAAUGGUAUCAUGUGCAGUCUGAAGACAAUCCGGCGGACCAUGCUUCGAGAGGGUUAUCGGCAGAUCGGCUCGUUGCUUCAAAUUGGUUCACUGGCCCAGACUUUCUGUGGGAAAGGGAACUACCAACAAAGGAUGCCAAGGUGGGAGAAGUUAGUGAUACUGAUCCAGAACUUCAAAGGGCUCAAGUACUCAUCACCAGUGCAAGGACAAAUAGAACAUUGGUGGAUCGCUUGACCAAGUUUUCUGACUGGAAAAGAGUUGUGAAGGCUAUUGCUUGUCUUAAACGUCAUGCUAAGCAAGUUAAGGGUCUUAGCCCCAAACUCAGUGGAAGUACAAGUGUUGAGGAAAGACAACAAGCUGAACUUUUCUUAAUCAUAUUGGUCCAAAGAGAAGUAUUCAGCAGUGAAAUCAAGAAUUUGCAACAAUGCAAGGAUGUAAAAUCGAAAGACAAAGCAAACAAGCUAUGUAAUUUAAGUCCAUUUUUGGAUGAGCAGGGUGUGCUUAGAGUAGGCGGCCGCUUGACAAGAAGUGAUCUUCAUCCGCACGUUAAGCAUCCUGCUAUUCUGCCAAAAACAAGCCAUGUGUCUUCUUUAUUGAUUAAGCAUUAUCAUGAGAAGGUGCAGCAUCAAGGAAGAGGUAUGACUGUAAAUGAGUUGCGAUCUAAUGGGAUAUGGGUCGUUGGAUGCAGUGGUGCAGUUGCCUCACACAUCUUUAAGUGCGUCACAUGCAGAAAGUAUAGAAGGAACAAGCACGACCCAAAAAUGGCAGAUUUGCCAAAGGACAGAGUGGAAAUAACCCCGCCAUUCACAUAUUGUGGCAUGGAUUGCUUCGGACCAUUCUAUGUGAAGGAUGCAAGAAAGGAACUGAAGAAGUAUGGCCUUCUCUUCACUUGUAUGUGUUGCAGAGCUGUACAUAUCGAGAUGCUUGAUGACCUCAGUUCGGAUGCUUUCAUCAAUGCAUUGCGCGUAUUCAUUGCAAUACGUGGGAAUGUUAGGCAGUUGAGAUGUGAUCAAGGUACCAAAUUUGUGGGCGCAAAGAGAGAGUUCAUGGACUCAAUGAAGAACUGGGAUCAUGAGCAGGUGAAGGAAUAUGGCUGUGAGUUUGUAAUGAAUUCCCCAUCGUCAAGCCAUAUGGGAGGAAUUUGGGAGAGGCAAAUAAGGACAGUCAGAAGUGUCCUAACAGCAAUCCUUGAUCAGUCUGCUAAAAGACUUGACACUGCCUCACUUAGGACAUUUUUGUAUGAAGUGAUGGCUAUAAUAAAUAGCAGACCCCUGACAACAGAGCACCUGAAUGAUCCAACAAGUCUUGAACCGCUCACACCAAAUCACAUUCUGCUGAUGAAGUCUAACAUCAUAUAGCCACCUCCAGGUCAGUUUGUAAGUCAAGAUUUAUACCUGCAUAAGAGAUGGCGGCAGGUGCAGUUCUUGGCGAAUGAGUUUUGGACAAGGUGGAGGAGGGAGUACCUUCUUAAUCUCCAGCAAAGACAGAUAUGGCAUGGGGAUAAGAAAAACAUCAAGGUCAAUGACAUUGUUAUUCUUCAAGAGGACAGUGCUCCACGAAAUCACUGGAGACUAGCAAGAGUCACAGAGGUGUACCCCAGCGCUGACGGAAGGGUCAGAAAGGUGAAGCUGUUGGUUAGCGACUCAACUUUGGAUGAACGGGGAAAACGUUCAACUAGGCCAGUUUAUCUUGAAAGGCCGGUGCAAAAAAUAGUUCUACUGGUUGAAGCUGAAUAAGCAUGUGUUAAACUGUUGUAAAUGCUUAUCACUUGAAGGUUCAAAUCUACAGGGAAAUCUCAAGUUGAGAUUUGGUGGGAGUUUAACUGCCACAAUGUAAAUUAUGUCAAUUUGUUUGAUUUAUUGUGUUAUGUAUGUAUCUUAUUUCCCUGGUCUAUUGUUGUUUCUUUGGGGUAGGAACUAAGUUUCAUGCUGUGUUGCGCACGGCCCAUUUUGGGUGACAGAAAGGGAAGUAAAAGAGCAUGUGAAAAGAAGCUGAGCUAUAACCUACGCAGUCACAGGAAUGAAUAAAUAAGCAGUUUAAAGUAAGGGAAAGCUGUAGAGAAGACGAAGAAGAAACCAGCGAAUUACCUUUGUUAAGUUUUGUUCCUGAAGCGGAUUCACUCCCUUAUGGUUACGUGCAGCCAGCGAGUUUGACGGUGGAUUAAUAGUGUCUUGGAGGAGAAGUGUGAAGGAGGAAUAAAUCCAUCAGUGAAUGAAGAACCGUGGUGUCGUCUAUUAACCGGAGGGAGCGAAAGUCUUUAUACAGCUUAUUUUUUUUCUGCAAGCCUUCUGAAUCCCCGUAGUUAUCCAUGGCUUUUUAGCAUAUUUAUUCUUAUCCACCUUAUAAAGCAAUGGGCAGUUUUUUUUCAUAAAGAGAAGUUACAAUAUUUAAAAAUGUUCCAUAAGCCAUAUUUACAUCUUCCACAUAAACCUCCUCCCAAUUUUUUUCCAUUAAGUCAGUUUUAAAUGAAUUUACUGCUUCUUGAUUUUUUAGCCUUGUAACAACCACAGAUUCACUUUGAGUAGUUACAGUUGUCCUUUGUACAAUUGUGAAAACCGGUAAAUGAUCAGACAUAUCGGUAAUUAUAAGACCACUUAACACAUCAUAUUCAAGAAUAUUUGUAAAAAUAUUGUCGAUCAGUGUCACACUAGUUCUCGUAAUUCGAGUUGGCCGAGUUAUUAGUGGAUACAGUCCCAGACUAAACAUGGAAUUAAUAAACUCUGUAUUUGCAUUUUGCAUUUGAGGAUUCAACAGGUCAAUGUUAAAAUCCCCACAGACAAAACACAUUUUUCUGUUGAUUAUAUCAUCAUACAUAUCAACUAUUUUUUCUUUAAACAUUUCAACACAAGAUCCUGGUUUCCUAUACAUACAACUGACUAACACAUUCUUAGACUUUUCUAUUUGUAUUUCCACAAAUACACACUCCAUAAUGUUAUCCAUAACUAAUGUCAUAUCACCCACCAAUCUACUUGGAAAGGUUUUAUCAAUAUACAAAGCCACUCCCCCACCUUUUUUGCAAUCUCU